rnacentral:rRNA from 1 species
CCGUGAGGGAAAGAUGAAAAGCACUUUGAAAAGAGAGUUAAACAGUACGUGAAACCGUUAAAGGGGAAACGGAUGGGGUCAGCAGUGCGCUCUGCGAGAUUCAGCCGGUUGGCACGUCGGGCGGGCGGUUGGCGGAUCUGAAUGGACCGCGGCCGUUCGGUUCGGCGGGCGGACCGUCGCACUUCUCGCGAGCGCGCGCCAGCGUCGGUUGUCGCCGGGUCUCAAAGUCGCGGGCAAGGUAGGCCGCCCCUUUCGAGGGGUGGUUGUUAUAGGCCCGCGUCGUAUGGCCCGGUGGCGACCGAGGAGUCGCGGCGUGUGCCUCCCCCCCGGGGGCUGGCUGGGGUUCCGUCUCGCCGGUCGGCGGUCGAACGUGGUGGACUGCGUGCAGUGCGCCGCGACCGCCGCCGGUCGCCGGGACGGUGACUUUGCACCACGCGCCAAGGACGCUGGCGGUCAAAUGGCCUCAUUCGACCCGUCUUGAAACACGGACCAAGGAGUCUAACAUGUGCGCGAGUCUUCGAGUGAAGGAAGCUCGCGGGCGCAAUGAAAGUGAAGGUGGCCUCGUGUCGCCGAGGCGGGAGCCCGUCCCCUCGAGGGAGGGGUGCACCGUCGACCGACCUAUUCCGCUCUCGGGAAGGUUUGAGUGGGAGCGCACCUGUUGGGACCCGAAAGAUGGUGAACUAUGCUUGAAUAGGGUGAAGCCAGAGG